CAGUGACACAGUGACACGUAAGCAUCUGAGAACUUAGUGUUUAUUGAUUAUGGGACGUAUGUGCCCCCAGUUCGUAAACUUUUAUUCUUUACUCCACAGAAGGCCCCCAAGUUACCCUGAAAGCGCGUCCGCUGCACCGGUGUCUCAGCCUCCUGUGCGGCCUCGCCGUUGACAGAGACCACGGCGCGCCGACUCCUUGUUGCGGGUGUCUUCGCAGUGCGACCAGAGCCUCGAGCAGAACGAGCAGUUGCUUGAUGUGGUGCGGGGGAUCAGAAGGUCAGCCACCCACAUCACUUCUCUAGUGCGGCGUAUGGCAGCAGCACAGGAGCGGGUGGCAGCAGCACAGGAGCAGACGGCAGCGUUGCAGGAGAGCAUCCUGCAGGCGGUCCAAUCCUUGGCCCGGGCCAUGGCUGAGGGCCCUCUGCGGGAAAGAGCUACAUAGUUAUUUUAAAUUUUUCAUCAUGUUUUCAAUGUUUUAAAUUUUUAUCAUGCAUAAUUCGUUUGUUGUUAUAUGU